AACGCGAAGAACCUUACCUGGUCUUGACAUCCACGGAAGUUUUCAGAGAUGAGAAUGUGCCUUCGGGAACCGUGAGAUAGGUGCUGCAUGGCUGUCGUCAGCUUGUGUUGUGAAAUGUUGGGUUAAGUCCCGCAACGAGCGCAACCCUUAUCCUUUGUUGCCAGCGGUCCGGCCGGGAACUCAAAGGAGACUGCCAGUGAUAAACUGGAGGAAGGUGGGGAUGACGUCAAGUCAUCAUGGCCCUUACGACCAGGGCUACACACGUGCUACAAUGGCGCAUACAAAGAGAAGCGACCCCGCGAGAGCAAGCGGACCUCAUAAAGUGCGUCGUAGUCCGGAUUGGAGUCUGCAACACGACUCCAUGAAGUCGGAAUCGCUAGUAAUCGUGGAUCAGAAUGCCACGGUGAAUACGUUCCCGGGCCUUGUACACACCG
rnacentral:rRNA from 1 species